GUCUUUUUGAUGAAUAAUUUAAAGUCUCGCCUGCCCACUGAAUAUUGUUAAAUGGCCGCGGUAUUUUGACCGUGCAAAGGUAGCAUAAUCAUUAGUUUUUUAAUUGAAAGCUGGAAUGAAUGGUUGGAUAAGAAAAAUUCUGUCUCAAGUUAAAUUUUUUAUAAUUUUAUUUUUAAGUUAAAAAGCUUAAAUAAUUUUAAAAGACGAGAAGACCCUAUAGAGUUUUAUAAAAUAAGAAAUUUAAAUAAUAAAGAAUUUAAUGAUUUAUAUUUUUUAUUUUAUUUGAUUGGGGUGAUUAAAAAAUUAAAUAAACUUUUUUUAUAUAGAAACAUUAAUUUAUGAAUAAAUGAUCCAUAAAAAUGAUUAUAAGAAUAAAUUACCUUAGGGAUAACAGCGUAAUUUUUUCUAAGAGUUCUAAUCGACGAAAAAGAUUGCGACCUCGAUGUUGGAUUAAAAUUUAUAUUUGGUGAAGAAGCUAAAUUAUUAGGUCUGUUCGACCUUUAAAAUUUUACA
rnacentral:rRNA from 1 species